CUUCAUUCAGUUUUAUUAGCAAGCAUUUUUUGUUACUCUUUCUAGCCAAUGGAUGCCUCUCACCAACAACCAGGAAGGAAUUUGCAUUGAUUCCUUCACAUUGUGUUUUCAAGAACCAGCCCAUCAGGACAGCUCUGCAUUUAUGUGCUUAUCAUUAUGCAUGAAGGAAGGGCAUGUGCACUAGAAGAAGACCCUUUUGUAGGUCUGGUGACCCUGGGUGGUGCCCCACCUUGAUGGGCUUCACAGUGCCACUCUGCAAAAUGCGAGUGACAGCAAUCACCUGUAAGAGUUUUAGUGAGAAUAAAUGAACAGCACAUACAAGACAGGUAUGUCAGGUAGGUAUACGAAAAGGUCAUGUCUUCCCUGCCUUUGAGUGCCUGUAAGAGAGAGGCACACGGGAGAGCCAUCCACGAAGGAGGAAGGGCUGCGUGCCAGGAAACCGGCCUGCUUGCUUCAAGGCAGCAGUGUGCACGCAUAGCUCUUUGGACCACAAGGCACAGACACUCAAGGUCAAUUUUCCCCAAGCUAAGGUCUCC
rnacentral:lncRNA from 10 species